GGGGCUGGGGGGGAGCAAAACCCCGGUCCCGGGCUGCCAGGGACCGGCUGUGGCUCCUGAGCUGUAGCAAAUGGGGCCAGCACAGCUCUCCCCCGGCCACGGGGGCUGAUUUCCCUGCCGGGAUGGGAAACAAGCCAAGGAAGGUUGUUGGACCAGCCAUCCCCCAGUAACAGCAAGAGGCACUGCCCGAUCCCGGAGGGAUAACUCCAGACUAACACGCGUGCGGCUGCAACCAGCCCGGCCGCCAGAGUGGGGAUACGUGAACCCCCCUCGUUCAAAUAUUGCUAGCACGUCACAGCUCUGCGCUCAGCUUCGGGUCUGGAGGAGAGAAAAUGCUCCAUGUUCUUUAAAAGAUUCCUGCCUUUGAAAGCCAUCCAGAGCGUGUUUUCAGCGAGGUACACCGCAACCCUUGUCUCCAGCUCGUCAGCAGAAACUCUGCCUCAUUCUUCACCAGCUCCAGGAAAGCACUUCCCAGCCUCUCUGCACGUUACCGUUGGCUAAACAGUGGAGCAAAGCCACGUUUGUCUCCCCCCUAAAACAGAGCACCCAACUCAAACGCCUGUUGGCCUUUGCAAUGUGAUGGGGGGGGGGGGGGGGUGUCCACCACACGUUUUUGCCCACUCUGAGUCUUGUUAUCUAUCCAGACUUUGAAUUAGUUCCUAACACCAAGAUUAACACUCAGAGCAGCAUUUCUCCUGUGGUUUAUCAAAAUUUAGGUACCUUGGGGUCCCGAGGGAGAUGAGCAUUCAGGAUCCUCAGAUCAGGAACGGCAAAUCCAUUGUCCCCUUUUCAGCCGUGCGCUGCCGACACUAAAGCAUGAAUGGAGAGCUGGGCCAGGGUCCCUCUGGUGGGAGUGGAAGUUUGGGGCAGGACUGCUGCUUUCCUGCAGUCACCUAAAUCAGUUAAUGUAAUUUUGGAUGCCCCGUUCCUCGCUCUGAGGCACACCACGGGUGAGUCUGGUCCCUGUCGUACUCGACUUUUCAUUUUCUCCCUCCACUCCCUCCAUCAUCUCUUCUGCUCUCCUCUCCUCCCUCUUCCCCGGGCAGGACCCCCAGUCCUGGCCACCUGCCCUCUCACACGUGGGCCACCCUCGACUAGCCCAUCCCCUGGGAAAUGCUGGCAGCGUGUCCCAGGCUGAGCGUGUCACCCGAGCUGAGAGGGGAGGGCUGUUUCCCUCCCAAACCCACCCAGCCUUCCUGGU